rnacentral:piRNA from 1 species
UCCUGUUCAUAGGGUGCAUCAUGAUUAUGUU